GACGAACGCUGGCGGCGUGCUUAACACAUGCAAGUCGAACGGAAAGGCCUGCUUUCCCUUGUGGAUUGCGGGUACUCGAGUGGCGAACGGGUGAGUAACACGUGAGUGAUCUGCCCCCAACUUGGGUAUAAGCCUGGGAAACUGGGUCUAAUUCCCGAUAGGACUGCAGGGUGGUGCCUGUGGUGGAAAACGAUUUUCUAGUGGUUGGGGAUGAGCUCGCGGCCUAUCAGCUUGUUGGUGGGGUAAUGGCCUACCAAGGCGGCGACGGGUAGCCGGCCUGAGAGGGUGGACGGCGACAUUGGGAUUGGGAUACGGCCCAGACGCCUACGGGAGGCAGCAGUGGGGAAUAUUGCACAAUGGGCGGAAGCCUGAUGCAGCGACGCCGCGUGGGGGAUGACGGCCUUCGGGUUGUAAACUCCUUUCGACCGCGAGGAAGCCACCUGGUUGGAAGGGUGGUGACGGUAGUGGUAGAAGAAGCACCGGCUAACUACGUG
rnacentral:rRNA from 1 species